GGUGGAGUGGCUCAGUGGUAGAGUGCUUGCCUACCAAGUAUGAGGCCCUGAGUUCAAACCCCAGUACCACCA